GUAGUCUGCAACCCGGCUACAUGAAGCUGGAAUCGCUAGUAAUCGCGGAUCAGAAUGCCGCGGUGAAUACGUUCCCGGGUCUUGUACACACCGCCCGUCACACCAUGGGAGUCGGAAAUGCCCGAAGUCUGUGACCCAACCUCAGGGAGGGAGCAGCCGAAGGCAGGUCGGAUGACUGGGGUGAAGUCGUAACAAGGUAAC
rnacentral:rRNA from 1 species